UACGUAGGUGGCAAGCGUUGUCCGGAAUUAUUGGGCGUAAAGCGCGCGCAGGUGGUUUAAUAAGUCUGAUGUAAAAGCCCACGGCUCAACCGUGGAAGGUCAUUGGAAACUGUUAAACUUGAGUGCAGGAGAGAAAAGUGGAAUUCCUAGUGUAGCGGUGAAAUGCGUAGAGAUUAGGAGGAACACCAGUGGCGAAGGCGGCUUUUUGGCCUGCAACUGACGCUGAGGCGCGAAAGCCAGGGGAGCGAACGGG
rnacentral:rRNA from 1 species